rnacentral:rRNA from 1 species
CAAGUCGAGUGGGUUUAGACCCACGGCGAACGGGUGAGUAAUACCUAGGAACGUAUCUUUAGUUGAGCAUAACCUGCCGAAAGGCAGGAUAAUUCUCGAUGUGACCGCAAGGUUAAAGUCGCAAGACGCUAAAGAAGCGGCCUGGGCACCAUCAGCUAGUUGGUAGGGUAAAGGCCUACCAAGGCUAUGACGGUUAGGGGCCCCGAGAGGGGAAACCUCCACACUGGAACUGCGACACGGUCCAG